rnacentral:rRNA from 1 species
UACGAAGGGGGCGAGCGUUGUUCGGAAUCACUGGGCGUAAAGGGCGCGUAGGCGGCCCUCUUAGUCGCGUGUGAAACGCCCCCGGCUCAACUGGGGAGGGUCAUUCGAUACUGAUCGACUGGAAGGCAGGAGAGGGAAGCGGAAUUCCCGGUGAUAGUGGUGAAAUGCGUAGAUAUCGGGAGGGAACACCAGUGGCGAAGGCGGCUUCCUGGCCUGUUCUUGACGCUGAGGC